AUGAACGCUAGCGACAGGCCUAACACAUGCAAGUCGAGGGGCAGCGACAAGGAGCAAUCUGAGGUGGCGACCGGCGCACGGGUGAGUAACACGUAUGCAACCUGCCUGUAAGCGGGGAAUAACCCGUUGAAAGACGGACUAAUACCGCAUAAUACUAAAUUACUGCAUGGUAAUUUAUUUAAACAUUUAUGGCUUACAGAUGGGCAUGCGCAUGAUUAGCUAGUUGGAGAGGUAACGGCUCCCCAAGGCAACGAUCAUUAGGGGUUCUGAGAGGAAGGUCCCCCACACUGGUACUGAGACACGGACCAGACUCCUACGGGAGGCAGCAGUGAGGAAUAUUGGUCAAUGGACGAGAGUCUGAACCAGCCAAGGUCGCGUGCAGGAAGAAUGUCCUUAAUGGAUUGUAAACUGCUUUUGCAGGGGAAUAAAGUGCAUCACGUGUGAUGUUUUGUAUGUACUCUGCGAAUAAGGAUCGGCUAACUCCGUGCCAGCCGCAGC
rnacentral:rRNA from 1 species